rnacentral:tRNA from 1 species
ACUCGUCCUGGAUGACGCCGCGCGUCAGCGCGUCAAGUGCGCCGAAAGGCUCGUCGAGCAGCAGCAUUUUUGGUUCGACCGCAAAGGCGCGUGC